GAUGAACGCUGGCGGCGUGCCUAAUACAUGCAAGUCGAGCGAAUGGAUUAAGAGCUUGCUCUUAUGAAGUUAGCGGCGGACGGGUGAGUAUCACGUGGGUAACCUGCCCAUAAGACUGGGAUAACUCCGGGAAACCGGGGCUAAUACCGGAUAACAUUUUGAACCGCAUGGUUCGAAAUUGAAAGGCGGCUUCGGCUGUCACUUAUGGAUGGACCCGCGUCGCAUUAGAUAGUUGGUGAGGUAACGGCUCACCAAGGCAACGAUGCGUAGCCGACCUGGGAGGGUGCUCGGCCACACUGGGACUGAGACACGGCCCAGACGCCUACGGGAGGCAGCAGUAGGGAAUCUUCCGCAAUGGACGAAAGUCUGACGGAGCAACGCCGCGUGAGUGAUGAAGGCUUUCGGGUCGUAAAACUCUGUUGUUAGGGAAGAACAAGUGCUAGUUGAAUAAGCUGGCACCUUGACGGUACCUAACCAGAAAGCCACGGCUAACUACGUGCCAGCCGCCGCCGCGG
rnacentral:rRNA from 1 species